rnacentral:lncRNA from 1 species
GAGGGAGAAUUGUUGUUGAUUGAGUAUCGAAGGAAUCAGAACACCGCUGAAGCCAGGGAAAACGAAAGAAAAAGAAAAAUACAUAUUUUGAUGUCACUUCGAUGAUCAUUCCUUUCUAUAUGAAAAUGGGUAACUGAAUGAAAAGGGUAAGAUAUAUAUUUGUUCCUUUCAGUUGUUGAUUGAUCUGUUAGAGGUAGGUUAUGUUAUUUUCUUUAAAAAUAUUAUUUUGAAUCCAUAAUCUGUUAGGAGUGUCUUUGCAGUUACAUCAACAUUCCUAUUCUUGUCAGUAAGAUAUUAAUUUGUUUUUGCCUCUUUUUGAUUUACUUUUUAUAGUAUCAAAAAUGGUAAGGAAAAAAGGGUAAGAAUUUUUUAUUGCUAUUUUGUUAUUAUGAAAUUGUGAUGUUCUGAGGUAGGUUGGUUUGGUAUGCUAUAUUCAUUACAUUAACCAUCAUUACUGCUAAAGCAAUGACAUCUGUAAAAUGCUCACACAAGAGUGGAAACUAUCCUCUGUCUUAUUGGGAGCUCAAUCUCGUCUGCGACCACAACAUUUCAAAUUGGCAGAAGGUAAGUUACUUCCUUAGCAUUCUAUUCAACAAUGCCAAAGGCAGGUUACUAUGCUUAUUGAAGGUUCCUUUCAACUAUACUGAUCAAGUAUAACUCAUUUGGUACUAAAUUGUUUGGCAUAAUACUCAUCCAUCACUUUACAAUAUAAUGAGUGUGAUAAGUUUUAAGAUGGUCUCUCUGCCACUUUAUUGUGUAAGUUAGUUAGCUUUCUAUUAAGUUUUCCUAAAUUGCAUUUUUCUUACCUGAUUGCAUCCAAAUAAUUGAUUGCUAAUUAUGCAUUUUUGCUGUUUUUUUUUUAAUCUUUAACUUGUUACUUGAUGCAUUCUAUUCAACCAUCACUGUGUCAUUUGUU